UGGGGAAUAUUGCACAAUCGGCGCAAGCCUGAUGCAGCCAUGCCGCGUGUAUGAAGAAGGCCUUCGGGUUGUAAAGUACUUUCAGCGGGGAGGAAGGGAGUAAAGUUAAUACCUUUGCUCAUUGACGUUACCCGCAGAAGAAGCACCGGCUAACUCCGUGCCAGCAGCCGCGGUAAUACGGAGGGUGCAAGCGUUAAUCGGAAUUACUGGGCGUAAAGCGCACGCAGGCGGUUUGUUAAGUCAGAUGUGAAAUCCCCGGGCUCAACCUGGGAACUGCAUCUGAUACUGGCAAGCUUGAGUCUCGUAGAGGGGGGUAGAAUUCCAGGUGUAGCGGUGAAAUGCGUAGAGAUCUGGAGGAAUACCGGUGGCGAAGGCGGCCCCCUGGACGAAGACUGACGCUCAGGUGCGAAAGCGUGGGGAGCAAACAGG
rnacentral:rRNA from 1 species